AUACCUUUCUCGGCCUUUUGGCUAAGAUCAAGUGUAGUAUCUGUUCUUAUCAGUUUAAUAUCUGAUAUGUGGGCCAAUGGUCCACACGAUAUUAAAUUAAUUUUUUGAUGGGAAAUGUCCAAUCGAUAGCUUGCUAUUGGGAUGUUUACGUGUCGCCUAUGCUUUGCACUAUUGCAUUGGCCUGGCACACCCUCU
rnacentral:snRNA from 1 species